AAAAAGGUAUGUACGUACCAAUCAUCAGUCAACAAUACGACAGAACUACGCUGAGAACCGACAAUACGAUUUGUUUAAAAAAUUACCGAUACUGCACGCCUACGAGCUCGCUCACUGGACUUACGAACCCUUUCAGCAGUCGUCUCAUCCCCAUCUGAAAUAAGAGACAAGAUCAAGAAGGCAGCAAGUUUGGGCGGGACGUAGAUUCCGGACUUUUUCAACUGCGUUCUGGAACCCUGAGAAUUAUUGCCGUCUUCACUAUCGGCUUCCAGAUCAGAGUCUUCAAUUUUGCCAGUGAGAGCUUCAAGGUUGGCUUUGAAUUUGCUGGGGUCGUCAUUAUUUGAAGUGCCAGUUACGGCAGU
rnacentral:lncRNA from 1 species